rnacentral:rRNA from 1 species
GACGAACGCUGGCGGCGUGCUUAACACAUGCAAGUCGAACGGAAAGGCCCUGCUUUUGUGGGGUGCUCGAGUGGCGAACGGGUGAGUAACACGUGAGUAACCUGCCCUUGACUUUGGGAUAACUUCAGGAAACUGGGGCUAAUACCGGAUAGGAGCUCCUGCUUCAUGGUGGGGGUUGGAAAGUUUCGGCGGUUGGGGAUGGACUCGCGGCUUAUCAGCUUGUUGGUGGGGUAGUGGCUUACCAAGGCUUUGACGGGUAGCCGGCCUGAGAGGGUGACCGGCCACAUGGGGACUGAGAUACGGCCCAGACGCCGACGGGAGGCAGCAGUGGGGAAUAUUGCACAAUGGGCGGAAGCCUGAUGAAGCAACGCCGCGUGCGGGAUGACGGCCUUCGGGUUGUAAACCGAUUUCGAAUGUGACGAAGCGUGAGUGACGGUAAUGGGUAAAGAAGCACCGGCUAACUACGUG